rnacentral:rRNA from 1 species
UACGUAGGAUGCGAGCGUUGUCCGGAAUUAUUGGGCGUAAAGAGAACGUAGGCGGUUUGUUAAGUUUGGGCUUAAAGACUGGGGCUCAACCCCAGGAGUGGCUCGAAAACUGACAGACUAGAGGAUGGCAGAGGAAAGUGGAAUUCCCGGUGUAGAGGUGAAAUUCGUAGAUAUCGGGAGGAACACCGGUGGCGAAGGCGGCGAUCUGGGUCGAUACUGACGCUGAGGUGCGAAAAGCGUGGGGAGCAAACAGG